ensembl:lncRNA
CAUAGGAGAAGCCUCAAACUCAAGUCUUGGAAAGAGGCUCUGAACUUCUUCAGGUCUUCAUCACCAUGAACUUCCAAGAAUGUACCUCUUCCGUGUCUCCAAGCAUCCUGCAAGGUCUUCCAAGGUAGAGCUUAUCCCUAUACCCAAGGGAUAAAGGGACAGACUUCUUAAUUUGGCCAUGAGAGGGCAGCUCAGCUCACCCCAGAGGUUGCAGAUACCCUUCCUCUAGGGUUGUUGGAAUCCACUCUUACACCGCCUGAAUCACUCCAGGGCUCCUGACCCACGGAUGGCCUAGAAUUGGGGCAGGCCUCCUAGGGCCACUCCAGCCAGAGGCAGGGCUCAGCCAGGUUCCACACCAGCCUGGCUCCCUGUCCCCAGGUACUGGCUGAGGCCUCUGAGAAGGAUGCUGUUUCCUGUUGUUUUGCUGCCAAAAGGAGCCAGGAUGUUCCCCUGCCGCCCCCCGGGAACUGGGUGCUGCGAGAUUGAUAUUGACCGAAGACUGCAGGACUCCAAGAUGGCGGCAGCCACUCCAGUGAAAAGAAAGAAACUCACAGAUGUCAAAAUAGGGGAGCUGCCAAGCAGGAUAUGGAUGUGGGAUUUCACCCCAGAGACACUGUUGGAGCGUCUCAAAGCAGUUACUACCGGUUCUACAACAGGUAUGUCUAGUGAGGAAAAAAAGGUGUAACUGGGUUUUUCUGGUCUGGCGGCUUACAUGGUUUCCAACUAUCGCCUUUCUCACAAAGGAG